GGCUGGUUUGUGCUGCCUAACCUGGACUGACCGUGCGGCUGGCUGAGGCUGCACACCUGUUGCACAUUGAGCAAUCAGUGUGCAACAUGUUAAACCAGCCGUCACCACACAUCUCCUGCAUGGUAACCCGGAGCCCCAUGUAUCUCAUAGUCAGAUAUCGUUGUCUGCAACCUCACAAUGAACCGGUCUUCCAACACCACUGCUCUGCGUCCUUGUCUGGAGGAGCUCAGCUUAAGUUACCUAGGUGGAGUGUGGCAGCGUUGUUACAAACUCGAAUGCACCUGGAUACAUUUCACUCAGAGAAGUAAGACCUAAGGAAAUGUUGGUGGCCUCAUCUCAUGGUAUCCCGCCGAUGUAUUUUGAACCUCUGAUGCACGCCUCGCGCUCCCUCUGUAGAGAUGGAAGCUAUAAGUGACACUCUGACAUGUAUGGCUACCUCCUCCCCGUGGGUUCUUGUGUACAGACUGCCCACUGUAAGAGGUGCACAUGAGAGGCGUUGUGCACGGAUAUGGCAUCCUGGUGCUGCCUGGCUGUCAUCACAUUGUCGCUACGCUACGUGGUCGUCAUGGUGUGCUCACCCUGUUCGCUGUUGUCGUGGUGUCAUCACACUGUCGCUAAGCUACGUGGUCGUCAUGGUGUGACCACCCUGUUCGCUACGUGGUUGUCGUGGUGUCAUCACACUGUCGCUACGUUACGUGGUCGUCAUGGUGUGACCACCCUGUUCGCUACCUGGUUGUCGUGGUGUCAUCACACUGUCGCCAUCACACUGUUGCUACGCGGUCCUCAUUGUGUCAGCACACUGUUGCUACGCUACAUGGUCGUAUUGUUUUGAAGCCCUGGAGUUUAUUAAAUAUGGCACGGGAUGUUGACCCUUCACCCACAGCCGGAGGUAAUGGGGAGGGAGGACCCCCGAGGUGUGUAGAUGGGGGGGCCCCCCUGCCAGCCGGGUGGGUACUAGACCUGUACACUUGAGUGGAGUACAGAGUUCUUUAUUAUCCCCACAGGGGCCGAUCAUAUUGCAGCGAGCAGCUGAGGAAACCACAAACAUAAAGGCACAUGAGCAUAGAAAACCAUCAUUGAAUAACAGCAUCAGCAGUGAACAGUCGGUCUCCGCAGACACUCCAGCUCCACGGUUAGGCUGAGGUUAGCCUCAGGGAUGGAGGAGGGGAUCGAAUCGAUGACCACUGCCACAUCUAGGAAUUCCCAUAUCUACACCCUGCGGGACGAAGGGCAGACUGAAUAGAGUGUGUGUGUCUAGUCACUUUUCUGGUAGUGACUGGAUUAGUGUCAUUUCUGAACACAUCCUCACCAGUAGUGAAGGGGUAGCAUCAGUUAGAUUUGGCCUGAUUUAGUCUAUAAUGUAAGUAAAAUUUGAUAUUCUCAAGUCACAGGAGCCUGACAAACUGAAAGAGGAAAGCACAUCAACAUUAGCAUUUCUGAAGCUUAAAUUGCAAAUUUUUGUAUUUUUGACUUAAUACAUUAACAAACUAAUGAAUUAUUUAUCUAAAUUAUAUCUGUUAAUCCUAACGGCACAAGAGGGCUACAGCUUUAGAAGUGGAAAUUACGCAUGGUGAGAUUGUAGUGCUAAUAAUUAAAUGCUAUGGCUGCAAGUCCUCUGAAACUAAGAAAAUCAACUUUAACAGUUUUGUAUCAACAUUCAUCUUCCUGUGUUGUAUUUUGUCUGUUUGAUGUGAACCUGCACUAUUAAACUUCUGCUGAUUAUUUUUGCUACCGGUAAAUAAAUAUCUGAAGCAAACAUUUCUUAAGAAAACGUGCCAAUUAUUCAAUGCAUCCAGUGAAGUUCUCUAUUAUUCAUAUUAUUCUGGUCCACUUUUGCCCUUCCCCUGCUAUUGGGUGCACUUGCAUAGUGCCAGUAUAACCAGGUAAGCAAAUUGGAAGUUGGAUAUGUUUAACUUUAUAUUUUGAAUACUUUUCACAGUGCAGCUUCCAACCCAAAGUGAACAUCUUCUCUUGGAAAAACAGUUAUGUUCUAUUCAAGGAAAUGUUCCGUGAUCUCCUUCACAAACCUUCCAUGACCUGAACUUCCUCUAUUUAGAAGCUUCUGUUUUGAGCCGGUGGCGGACUCAGAGGCGAGCCGGCGGCAGACUUGACUGAGACUCAAAUUGUCAUUUGGAAAGUGACAAGGUGCUGAUUUGUCGCCUGGCGAUGAGCGAUUGGACAUCACUGUUGACAAAUGGGCACUGGAACAAACCUGACAGCAGGGUAGCGAUGACAAAAUGCCUUCAGCCAGUGCUUGUCUUCUUUAUUUUUAUCUAUUAUCAUAGCUCGUCACAAGCUGGUUUAAAUUCUUAUAGGCGAAGGAUACGCUGACUAUACUACUCCCCAACACAUGCUUCAGAUGUUGUAGCAGUAUAUUAAAGCUAGGGGAGGCAAUAUAUUUUCAAAGCCUUUUUUGUCAUAUUUGUUGAUUUUCUUUAAAUCGCAAAAGCAACCGAUAAAUCAUAUGCUCUAUUGCUUUAAAUAAUAGUUCUUAUGCUCCUUUAAUGCCAUUCUUGUAUUCAGGGUUAUUUAUAAAUAAAAAUGUACAGCGGAACAAUUCUGGACAAAAGCAACAGAGCUCUAUAAGCAGAAUCUAUCUUAACCCCUACCUGCUCUUAAUACAUGCAGGAUUCAUUCAAUAUAGGUCACUUUGGUUAAAGGUGUCUACGUUUUUUCCUUUAAAGGUAGAACGUGUAAUUGAAUGUCCAGUGCAAAUGGUG
ensembl:lncRNA